GCGUCUUAUGGAAGGAGAGAAAGCUUAGCACUCCCCUUAUAAGGACAGAAGGGACCACAGUGCCUAACUCCUUCUGUAAGGUUAAAGCAUGUCACGUACUUUGCAACAUCUAUCCACUUAAAUAG